UGGGGAAUUUUGGACAAUGGGCGAAAGCCUGAUCCAGCAAUGCCGCGUGUGUGAAGAAGGCCUUCGGGUUGUAAAGCACUUUUGUCCGGAAAGAAAUCCUUGGCUCUAAUACAGUCGGGGGAUGACGGUACCGGAAGAAUAAGCACCGGCUAACUACGUGCCAGCAGCCGCGGUAAUACGUAGGGUGCAAGCGUUAAUCGGAAUUACUGGGCGUAAAGCGUGCGCAGGCGGUUUGCUAAGACCGAUGUGAAAUCCCCGGGCUCAACCUGGGAACUGCAUUGGUGACUGGCAGGCUAGAGUAUGGCAGAGGGGGUAGGAAUUAUCCACGUGUAGCAGUGAAAUGCGUAGAGAUGUGGAGGAAUACCGAUGGCGAAGGCAGCCCCCUGGGCCAAUACUGACGCUCAUGCACGAAAGCGUGGGGGAGCAAACAGGAUUAGAUACCCUGGUAGUCCACGCCCUAAACGAUGUCAACUAGUUGUUGGGGACUUCAUUUUCCUUAGUAACGUAGCUAACGCGUGAAGUUGACCGCCUGGGGAGUACGGUCGCAAGAUUAAAACUUAAAUG
rnacentral:rRNA from 1 species